UACCAGCACCCCGAGUGGUCGGGACGUUAUUGGGCCUAAAGCAUCCGUAGCCGGUUCUACAAGUCUUCCGUUAAAUCCAACUGCUUAACAGGUGGGCUGCGGAAGAUACUAUAGAGCUAGGAGGCGGGAGAGGCAAGCGGUACUCGAUGGGUAGGGGUAAAAUCCGUUGAUCCAUUGAAGACCACCAGUGGCGAAGGCGGCUUGCCAGAACGCGCUCGACGGUGAGGGAUGAAAGCUGGGGGAGCAAACCGGG
rnacentral:rRNA from 1 species